UACUUGCCCUUACCGUCGCCGGAGAACGCGCCGGUCGAUCUCGCCUCUUAGUGCAUACCAAAUGUGAUAUAGCAACCAUCAAAGAUCGCAUUUGACAGUUAUGGCAAAGGAUCACACCCUUCGCGCGUUCCGAGACGUGACGGUCGAUGACGAGAAAAAUCGUAUCGAUUGAAAUCAGCGCCUCGGGGCCAUGGGAGGAUACCGGAGAUCCAAAUGACGGCAGCAGUGCUUUGGCACUUCUGCACGAUUGCGCGGCCCGCGACCCCCGGGGUGCCGCGUCCAUCAACCAGGGAGAGUUAU
rnacentral:ncRNA from 1 species